CCCUCAGGGGUCUCCGGAAGCCCCGCCCUCCCGGAAACCCAGCCUCCAGACCGCACCGCGCGAACGGAAGGGCCUGCGGCCCGGCCGCCGCCAUAGGUGUGGAGCCAAAACCCGUAGGAAAGCUGGUUCCCCAGACUUCGGAACCUGGAGCAGAUGGACGGCGGGAAGGAGGAGAGGUGCGAAGUCAAUGUCCCCGCAGGUGCAGAUGUCUCUGGGCCGUUCAGUCGGCCCCUCUUGGCUCUGCAACCCACUCCCGAAUGGCCAGGAGCCCCCGGGCCCGAAAACCCGAGAGGACGGUGAUAUGGCCUGCAAGCCAAGGCUGUUGAGGAGCUCCUCGCGCCUUAGAAAUUCCUCCUCUCCUUCCUCCUGUGCAGAAUGAUGUGAUGGAGGAGCCAAACAAGGUCCAGAAAAGGAAAAUAGGCUUCAAGACCAUGGCUCCACUGUCAUUUACCUGAGGGCCAUCCAGGGCUCCCUGGGGAAAUGGAUGCCCCAAAGGAAGGAAGAAGCUACUAUCACUAGGGUACAGCUGAGUGCAGAAGAGCAUCCCAGCUGUGUAGAAGGACCAGCCAGGAGUGUCACUAUCAGUGCUUCUCAGAACUAGAAAGAGCCAUACCCCUCAGGUCAGAGUGGAAGAGGAAAAGUCAGUUAAACAGGAACAGUUUCUGUGAUAGGAGAGUGAUUAUAGGCUGUCAGGAGAAACCCAGCGAAGGGCCACUUAGGGGCCGAACAACAGUCAUUGACAAGCCCUCUCUACCCCUAGAAUUUGUGGAUGAUGCUGACUUGUCUAGAAAUCCAAAAGCAGAAAGAUAAGGAGGUUGUAAUAGAGCACCUUCAGGAAGUGACUAGUCGGAUAUGGAUGGAAUCUCCACAAAUCAGAUUCUCUCGGGAAGAGCCCACCUCUCUGAAAUACUCAGUAGUUCCAGAGCCUUCUUCCUUCCCCACUGACUAUGUCAUGUACCCUUGUCAUGUGUAUAGUUGUCCUUAGUCUGAUGAUGCCAGCUACUGGACCAGCAGCCCCAAGACUCCUGGCUACUCCUCUGUGGGGAGCACAGGCUGGGAAGAGCAGCCAUAGCCUCCUGUGUGAUUAUCACCCAGUACACCUCCAGAGACCUGAAGGCUUUAAACAAAGGCAGAUCAUAGAAUUCUUACUCAUUUCGUUUCUCCAGAAGCUCUAAAGAAGAAAUGGUGAAGGAGAAAAGAACAUUCCCAGAGGAGCCACUGCUUUUUUGGGGGCUCAAGACACACAUCUAGCUUCUUUCCAAGUUGCCACCGGGAGCCAAGCCUACAGGAGGGCUUCACCAAUAAGCACUGUCACUUGGACAUGCUAUAUUCCAUGUUGUCUUUCAAAGGGACUUUUACUGUCUGGGCAGGAUGCUGUGCCUAUAAUCUCAGCAUUUGGGAGGCUGAGGCAGGAGGAUUGCUGUGAUUUCAAGGCCAGCCUGGAAUACAUAACAAGACUCUGUCUCAAAAAACUGAAAGAACCUUUACAAAGUUCAGGAAAAUUUAUAGCAGUUCCUUCCCUAAGGAGUUUUCAGGGCUGCAUCUCAGACUUCUGUGAUCCUUGGACACUGAUGAAUUGCCUAUGAAAGAGUUGAUGAAAGAAGAUUGAGUUAGGGGGCCUUUGGCUGUCACCUUCAUUUUGCACAUUACUAUAGUGAGAGUCAAGAAAGAAAUUUUUUGCAAGCCUUAAGACACCCAAAGGCUGUGGCAUUUGGGGAAAUGGGCCUGGAUUACUCUUACAAAUAUACCAUACCAGUCCAAAUAGCACAAGGUAUUUGAGAGCCAGCUGCAGCUGGCUGUGUCUCUAAAGAAACCUCUUGGUCAUCCAUUACCAAGAAACUGACAAAGAUCUGCUGUACAUUAUGGAAAAAUUUGAGUCAUCUGACUAGAAAAUCCAUAGACGCUGCGUCACCAGCAGCUAUGUGGUCAUUGCGCUGCUGUUGAAGUACUUACCGAACAUGUCUGUGGGCAUUCCUGAUGUUCUCUUCUGCCUAGGAGGACUGAGUCUCUGAAACAUAUCCACUGGAGAAAAUAAUUGUGGAGACUGGUGAUCCCUACUUCUUCCCUUACCAGGGAGUGCAAAGCCCUACCCCAUAAGAGCAGUCCACAGAAGCCUGGGACCCUACUCACCCAGAACCCCCUUGGUAGGACUCUCCUUGCAACUGCAGGUUCCCAAAAGCGUUUGUCAAUAUGCUCACCCUGGCCCAGCUUUCCACACAGUUCAAGAGAUUGCCAGGGUCAAAGAGGAACUGCUGUUCUGCACCUUGGCCACCUUGUGUGAGAACACCAGUCAGUCACUGCUACAGUCUACAAGCCAAGUGGAUUUCAGCAGGAAACUUAGAACAGGCCAACCAGCAGCCUCACAGAACAUUGGCUGGGUCUGAACUUUGCCUAUGUCAAGGAUGUGAUUGCACAGCCCAUUGGAACAGAGAUAACCGGGACCAUAUGUUGUCCUCAGAACUGAUGGGAGGGUGCAGUGGCCUACAUUGCACAGUGCAGUGGAUGUGGGUGAGGGGUUAAGGGGCUGCCCAGAAUGUCAUCUAGGUUUUGUCUCUUGGCUAAAAUGUUCCAGGGCAGUCCCUGGAUGAAUGUCAUGUAAGGGUAUGAGUUUGCCAGUCCAAGUCUGAGGAAAGCAGAAUAGAAAAUGAAAAUAGAAACUGAAGAGAAAUCAUACCAAUCUUUGAACUUGCUACAAGGGGUUGGGAGUUUAGCUCAGUGGUAAAGCCUUUGCCUAGCAUGCAGAAGUACCUGGGUUUCUUCUCCAACAACACCAGAAAAAGAGUUGCAGUUAUGGAAAUCUCAGAGGCAGAGAAAUGAGAUUUAAGAAUGUAUUCAGUCACAUAUUCAGAACAUGGCUUCUUCUCUAAAGAGCUGUCAACCCCUGGGUCUUGCAGUAGAGUGCUUGAAACAUUCAGAUGGGGACUCAGCAGUAAACAGUGUUGUCAGGUAUCAUAUGUCAGAUCUCCAAACAGCCUAACAGGAAGGGGAAAAGACGUGUACAAAACCAAGGAACCCAGGGAAACUAUAUUUUUAGAAAGCUCUGAUACCCAGCCAGGAUUGAAAACUGCUUCCACAGAGUCUUUUUUUUCCCUCAUCUACUAUGACCAGGGCUCAGGCCUCCAUUGUGCUGUGGUGGUAAAGGAUUUUUGCUGCUCUAAGAAUAUAAUCCCUUUUGUGAAGCAUUGAACAUCAUUUCAAAUCACUUAAGCCCUUAAGUGUUUUUUAUAAGCCAGUAACUCAUCCCAAUCUUUGGAAAGUUAAGACUUGAUUUUAAAGAUCUAAUUUAAAGCAAUUCUGAAUUCACCUUUUGUCUUAGAUGCUAUAAAAUUUGUUAGGGCUUAAGAAAUAAUCUAUUUUUAGAAGAAAAAUCAUUAAUGCCUGUAAGGAAAAGAUGUAAAAAGUCAAUAUAAUGAGUAUUAGAAAAAAAAAUCCCAGUAGGUUUCUCCAGUUUUUUCCCUCCAGAUCCCAUUUUCUAGGCACAGCACUCAGUGAGGAGCAUCUGAAUCAGUUGUCAUUUCACAAGUGAUAUGCGCAGAUGUAAUUCCCAAGAAAGAGAUUACAGUUUGCUAUAGUCACCAUAGAUGCACGGAUGUCUUUUCAUAGUUUUUGUACCUAGAUUAAUCCUUGUAUAGAAUGGAAACACUUAAUGGAGUCUCUGGUUAAAGAACAAUUAUGUUAAAAUAUUACACUGGCUUUAUAUUCGUGAGUAUAUCAAUUCAUUUUUGAAAUGAGCUUCUGAAGCUGUAAGCCAGUUGAAGUGAAAACCCUACAUUGCACCAUAGAAAAAUAGAACAUUGAGAUUAAUCAUAACACUUGUUGUGCGAAUUCAUCUACCAUGAGUAUUAUGCAAAUAUUGUGAUAAGAACAAUGAAAGAGGAAAGGUGAAUGAUUUUAUUUUCAAAAAUAGGCAGAGAACAGGAUUUGAUCUCCAGGCCCAGGUUUUCUAACCCCUGCUCUAAAGCUAAGAAUGGCUUUUAUGAUUUCAAAUGAUUGGGGGAAAAUCAAAGGAAUAAUAUGUAAUGAUACAUGAAAAUUCUAUGAAAUUUGAAUGUCAGCAUCCAUUCAUUUCUGUGUUGUCUAUAGCCACUUCAUUUAUGUGAAGAGAGACUUGAGUAAUUGUCACGGAGACAGUAUGGCCUAGAAAGACUCAAUAUUUAUGAUCUGGCCCUUCACAGAAAAUGCUUCUCAUUUUCUACUCUGAGGCAGCCCUCAAUUUUGGAACUGUCUGGAAAACUUUCACAAUAUUUAUUUAAUUGGUCAAUAGUGAGCCUGAACAUUGUGGUAGAAGAUACUCUUACCCUCCCUCCCAUUAUGCUAACAAGUAGCCAAGGUUGAGAAACACCACCCUGACACUGGCCUUCAAACUGAAGUAUAUUUAGAGCUAUGGUUUUUACCUCUUUUUGCACCUCAGAACCACAUGGAGAAUUCAUAAAAAUACCAGGGCUGGGCUCCGCCUUUGUCCAGUUAAAGCAGAAGUGGUGUUAGUGGGGGUUUAGAACAAGUGCUUGGUGUGAUCCUUGUAUGCAGCAGGCACACUGCCUGAGGACUGACCCUGAGCUUAAGCUCAACUACUUAGAGGUUGUCCUUGGACAAGUGACUGACUCUAAGCCCUAAUUACUUACCCAUAUACACACAGGUUAAAACUAGGGCCCAGGUGAGGCGGAAUCACAGAGAAGGAUCUUCCCUUUCUAUGUACAAAGAUGAGUGAGUGUUAGAUUUCACCCAGUCAAGGGAAAAUAAAGGUAUCGCAGCAUCUCUGAGGCUUAAAAUCAGAUACCUGAUUUCUUUUGGUAACUUAGAGGCUAUCUUAGAUUGAAAAAUCAAGGAUAGGUCAUACUAAUAUGGUAAAAAGUUUGGAGUGAGAAAUUUUGAUCUUCAGAAUCUUCAUUUGUUCAGUGAGAGGAAAAAACUGCAAAUCUACAAAGCUGCCAGAUUAAUGUAUAUGGGACAUAAUUAUACUAAAACUCAUUUCCUAAUUUAAAAUUUAAAUUUGAGUAAAUUUAAAUUGUUCCAUAUUUUUAUUUCUUCCAUCUCAAAG
ensembl:lncRNA